rnacentral:misc_RNA from 1 species
GAUGAAGAACGCAGCGAAAUGCGAUACGUAAUGUGAAUUGCAGAAUUCAGUGAAUCAUCGAAUCUUUGAACGCAUAUUGCGCUCUCUGGUAUUCCGGAGAGCAUGCUUGUUUGAGUAUCAGUAAACACCUCAACUCCCUUUUCUUUUUUGAAAUGGGAGCUGGACUUGAGUGAUCCCAACACUUUUCUCACUGGAAAGUGGCGGGUCACUUGAAAUGCAGGUGCAGCUGGACUUUUCUCUGAGCUAUAAGCAUAUCUAUUUAGUCUGCCUAAAAAACAGAUUAUUACCUUUGCUGCAGCUAACAUAAAGGAGAUGAGUUCUUGUGCUGACUGAUGCAGGAUUCACAGAGACAGCUUUGCGGCUGACUUUGUAAACUCGAUCUCAAAUCAAGUAAGACUACCCGCUGAACUUAAGCAUAUCAAUAAGCCGGAGGA